rnacentral:misc_RNA from 1 species
GCCUAAAAUGGCAAUGCAAAUUGCACAAGUAUUUAUUGAAAGCCAUGGCCAAAAUAGGUGAAAAUCAAAGAAAUAAGACCUGAACCUAGCCAAAAACUAAGAUAGGCUCUAAAGUUCAAAGUGCAUGAACCCUAGGCUAGGAAACAAGUCUUCAACCCUGCUAGAAAGAUCCUUUCUUUAUUCUUUUUAUUAAUUCAAUCCUUUUCAAACAUAAUUUUAACCUUUCUCUCCUUGCCCUUUUUUAGCCUUUCAUUAGUUACCCUUCUCUCAUCCCAUCCAAAUCCAAAGAGAGCAACUCCACAAUCUUGGCUGAAACAGAAGUCAAACAAAGCCAUUCAAAAUAAAGGAAGGAAAACGCAGGUCUCCAAACCGAAGUCCCUCACUAUGAAUGCGCGAGUCAGGCCUACAACACAAUUCUGAGCUAUAAUGUGAAAAGUGUUGCGAGAAAAUCUGCUGAUGUCAACUGGAAUGAUGCUGAUUGUUUUUGCAAUUAAUUGGUUUGGUUAAAAGUUGGGGGGCUGGUUCUUAAUAAUUACCAGUAGAUUUUUUGUGUUCGUUUUGGGAUUGGAGAUCACAGCUCAAAUUAAAUCUACAACAGUAAGAUUUACCUGUGAAAUAUGUGGAAAUGGAAUCAACUCAUAUGAAGCUUGAGUUCUGCUGUUUCUGGGUUUCGCAAAUGGCAAGAGAAGGUACACCUACUACUACAAUCUGUUGAAACGUAAAGUCAAUCAAUCUUCGGUUUAGUUCUACAUCACUUUCAUGUAGAACAUUCACCACGGUGUCUCUGCU